rnacentral:misc_RNA from 1 species
AAAACAGGAUCGCUGUCCUUAAUCAUAUGCUUGAUCAGGAUUUUAAAUUACAUUAAUAAUUUUCUCACAGUGAAAUCAGCUGCUAAUUUUUUUUAAUUAAUGUGUGGUCUUUUGUUGAGAUCUGCAUGUCCAAGGUCUGUUAUUGACUGAAUUUUGGCAAUUAAGGCUUUCUAUAAGAAUUCUUAACAAAAUAUUAAAUUAGUUUGUGCCUUAAUCACAGUUCCAAUUUUUGUAUCCAUUUCAGCAAUGUCAAGUUUGCAAGA